AAGGCCCAAAAUAAAACAUCCAACUCAACCCUAAUCUGCUUAGUACCAAACCAAUGAAAAUAGGAUUUCCUAAUCCAUUUCCAACAUUAUCCGCAGCUUCUUCAACAACCUUAGAGAUGUUGAGCUCAGUUGAGUUUAAUUUGAGUUUCAAUUUCCUAUUACUUUGGAUAAUAAUACUCUUCCUCAUGUCCUUGGCUUGUAUGCUUCUAAUAAAUCAGCUGUCAGAGAUUUGAUUCUCAACUAGGUCUCUAGCUUGAAGCAUUUUUUCCAGACUUGAGAACCCAAAUCUGGCCUCCACAUUACCUCAUUAGGGUACAAGAUGUAUCGUACACACCAGGGUUAGGCAGUUCUCGGCAUUCAGCCAGCAGUGAUGAGUUCUCUUAUUUUGGGGAUUCAAGUUAGUUGCAGUUCUUGUAUUUUAUUUUCAUUAAUAUUAUGUACUAAUUAGGGAUAGUUGGAUGUUGCGUUCGGACUACCUAUAGUCAUUAUAGUAGAGGCUUCAUAGAUGGUUAGUUAGAGUUAGUAUUCGUAAUUAAAGUUCUCUUUUCUAUCUCAGAUUUCAGUGUUGUAAACAUUGAUUAGUUAUGUAUUGAAAAAGCUUAUCUUAUGUUGA